CGUAGGUGGCAAGCGUUGUCCGGAAUUAUUGGGCGUAAAGCGCGCGCAGGCGGUCUUUUAAGUCUGAUGUGAAAGCCCCCGGCUCAACCGGGGAGGGUCAUUGGAAACUGGAGGACUUGAGUGCAGAAGAGAAGAGCGGAAUUCCACGUGUAGCGGUGAAAUGCGUAGAGAUGUGGAGGAACACCAGUGGCGAAGGCGGCUCUUUGGUCUGUAACUGACGCUGAGGCGCGAAAGCGUGGGGAGCAAACAGGAUUAGAUACCCUGGUAGUCCACGCCGUAAACGAUGAGUGCUAAGUGUUAGAAGGUUUCCGCCCUUUAGUGCUGCAGCUAACGCAUUAAGCACUCCGCCUGGGGAGUACGGCCGCAAGGCUG
rnacentral:rRNA from 1 species